rnacentral:rRNA from 1 species
AAAGUGAAAACAGGCGAUAAAUCAUUCAAGUUUCUGACCUAUCAGCUUUCGACGGUAUGGUAUUGGCUUACCGUGGCAGUGACGGUUAACGGGGGAUUAGGGUUCGAUUCCGGAGAGGGAGCCUGAGAAACGGCUACCACAUCUAAGGAAGGCAGCAGGCGCGCAAAUUACCCAAUUCUAACAGUUUGAGAGAGGUAGUAACAAGAAAUAACAAUACAAGGCAGUUAAAAUGCUUUGUAAUUGGAAUGAUAGAAAUUUAAACCCUUUUUAAAGUAUCAAUUGGAGGGCAAGUCUGGUGCCAGCAGCCGCGGUAAUUCCAGCUCCAAUAGCGUAUAUUAAAAUUGUUGCAGUUAAAAAGCUCGUAGUUGAAGUUCUGCUGAAAGUAACCGGUCUGCUUUUAAUAAAAGUGGUAUCUUGGUAUGUAUUUAGCAAUGAUGUCCUUUGAAGUGUUUUUUACUUUAUUGUAAUAAAGCAUAUUCAGGACUUUUACUUUGAGAAAAUUAGAGUGUUUCUAGCAGGCUAACGCUUUGAAUACU